GGGGCCAUAGCUCAGCUGGGAGAGCGCUUGUCUGGCAGACAAGAGGUCACGGGUUCGAGCCCCGUUGGCUCCA
rnacentral:tRNA from 1 species